rnacentral:rRNA from 1 species
GAUGAACGCUAGCGAUAGGCUUAACACAUGCAAGUCGAGGGGCAGCAUGGUCUUAGCUUGCUAAGACUGAUGGCGACCGGCGCACGGGUGCGUAACGCGUAUGCAACUUGCCUCACAGAGGGGGAUAACCCGUCGAAAGACGGACUAAUACCGCGUACACUCCAUCUUGGGCUUCCAAGGUAGAGGAAAUGAAAUUCGCUGUGAGAUAGGCAUGCGUCCCAUUAGCUAGUUGGUGAGGUAACGGCUCACCAAGGCGACGAUGGGUAGGGGAACUGAGAGGUUGAACCCCCACACUGGUACUGAGACACGGACCAGACUACUACGGGAGGCAGCAGUGAGGAAUAUUGGUCAAUGGGCGAGAGCCUGAACCAGCCAAGUCGCGUGAAGGAUGACUGUCUUAUGGAUUGUAAACUUCUUUUAUACGGGAAUAACAAGAGUCACGUGUGACUCCCUGCAUGUACCGUAUGAAUAAGCAUCGGCUAACUCCGUG